CCUUUCCUGCUCCCUGCCGUCGCCCUCUCUCUACAUAGAACACCACCCGACCGACUCCCCCACCGUGCUCCUCGUCCCCAUCCGCCGCCGCCGCCGCCUGUGCCACGGGGGCCGCUACCUCGCCGCCCUCUUCCUCCUUGCGCUCGCAGGCUUCCUCCUCAGGCCCGCUAACCCGGAUGUCAGCCUGGGGCAGGGGCGGCGCAAGGUGGCCGAGCAGCACGGGGCGGGAUCAGCUCAGUAGCGGCGGCGCAAAGGGCACAAGAACUCAAACUUAUCCAAGCUGCGGGGUGAGCAAGAUGACAAGGGAAGAUGAUGGUGGCGCGGCCCCUCUCAGCUCUCUCCUCAGAUCUGUUAAGGCGGCGAGGAACCACGACAAGCCCACGCUCGAGCAGGCCCAGGUGCUUCCCCAUGACAACUCUGCUGCGAGCGGCAGUUUCCUUCCCUCCCACCUCAGACUUGAUUAGAUUCGUCCAUGUUUCUUUUUUGGAUGUAGCGAACCAUUCAAAUAAGACAUGGGAUCAAAUGACAAAGAGCAUAAUACAAGUUGCUGCUCCAAGAAGAACAAGGGGAGAGAACACAAAUUUCUCUCACGGGUCUUGAUUUCACCCAUCAAUUGCGUCCUGUGAGAGGAAUAUUGAUAACCGAGGCUGCUUGUUUCGAUUUCCUCCUCUAUGACCUGAUCUGAUUGCUUGAUGAUUUAAUUUUCAAUCUUACAGUUCAUACUUCAAAGUUCAUGAUUUUGGUUAAGCGAUUUAAUGCCAGAUUUUUGCAAUGCUUGAAUAGGGUUCCAUGUUAGCUACCUUUGUAGGGAUAAUCCUAUAGGUUUAGUUUGUAGAACUUCUACAUGUGACCUUUACUUCCAUUACGCUCAAGUCACAUAUUGUAAACCGAAAGCGUAACUGUUUUUUUUGUCAGGCUCAAAACCAUACUAGCAGCCUUUUGUUCCAAACCUCAAACUGUGUUCUUGCUACAUGGAUUUAAAAUGAAGGGAACAACUAGGACAUAGAAUUCAAAUUAUCAAAUGUUUCUUUGUACAAUCAGAGUAAUAAAAGUAUAAAAUUGAUCUCA